rnacentral:rRNA from 1 species
GACGUAGAGGCAAGCGUUGUUCGGAAUUAUUGGGCGUAAAGCGCUCGUAGGCGGGAGUUAGGCAAGUCCGUGAUUGAAACGACCGUCGGCUCAACUGGAGGGACCGGCUCGGAUACUCUAAUUCUUGAGGCAAUCAGAGGGAUGAUGGAAUUCCCCGGUGUAGCGGUGAAAUGCGUAGAUAUCGGGAGGAACACCAGUGGCGAAGGCGAUCAUCUGGGGCUGUUCUGACGCUGAGGAGCGAAAGCUAGGGGAGCAAACGGGG